AUUGAACGCUGGCGGAAUGCUUUACACAUGCAAGUCGAACGGCAGCACGGACUUCGGUCUGGUGGCGAGUGGCGAACGGGUGAGUAAUGUAUCGGAACGUGCCCAGUCGUGGGGGAUAACGUAGUGAAAAUUACGCUAAUACAGCAUACGAUCUAGGGAUGAAAGCGGGGGAUCGCAAGACCUCGCGCGAUUGGAGCGGCCGAUAUCAGAUUAGGUAGUUGGUGGGGUAAAGGACCACCAAGCCAACGAUCUGUAGCUGGUUUGAGAGGACGACCAGCCACACUGGAACUGAGACACGGUCCAGACUCCUACGGGAGGCAGCAGUGGGGAAUUUUGGACAAUGGGCGAAAGCCUGAUCCAGCCAUUCCGCGUGCAGGAUGAAGGCCCUCGGGUUGUAAACUGCUUUUGUACAGAACGAAAAGGUUUCUACUAAUACUAGGAGCUCAUGACGGUACUGUAAGAAUAAGCACCGGCUAACUACGUGCCAGCAGCCGCGGUAA
rnacentral:rRNA from 1 species